UGCCUGCAGGCUGGAGUUGCGGGCAUAGCUUGUGUCCCCUUGUCCUCCGUUCAUGUGCACCGUCUGCUCGGAAGCCAUGGAUCUUGCUCAAGCCGGCUGAGCUUCCGAUCUCGUGCCUGCAAGAUCCAGAUUAGGAAAACUGUCACUAUUAGGACCAGCCAAUCGAGGGCGAUAAAGGUCGAGUCAAAUCAAGAUAAGGAUAUACUAGCACUAUGAAGUUGUCAGCACAUGAGCCGAUAAUUGUUUUCAGUUGACGAAACAGUGAUUUCUGUUUGGUGAAUUUGUUCAACCGUUGGUUCAGUACCAGAAGCAAUCGUUUCCAAAUUUUAAUCUGCACAGAUACCGACUUCUCCUCUAGUCUAUUUUAGCGAUGAUAUCUGUAUAUGUGAGUGUUUCUUUAGUGUUUAUGUUGUUAUACAAUGAUGAGGUCUUUCUGUAUCC